CAUACUUAACACACACACACACACCUACUACACUAGACCACUGACCCCCCGAACACCCAACACUACUCUCCACACCCUACACCACACACCCAAACACCACACAGCCUACACCACGCACCCCACACCACGGCCCAUACUUCCUACCAUACACACGCAUCCGACACCACGCACCCAUAGCAGCUCAGCCAGUCACAGCCAUCCGCCCAUGACGAUGCUCACUUGGCACAAGCACAACAUUCCCCCUCACAGGUAUGGGCGCCACGCCAGGCUGCCUUUUUUUUUUUUUUUUCACCGGACUGCAGAUGUCCCCACGCCAUCUCACACUACCCACCAAUAAAAUACCACCACCACCACCACCACCACAGCUACUUCCACCGCCACUCCUCCCUCGCCAGACACACAAGUUUAUCACUGCCUCAGCUGUUCCCGAAAUGACCAUCCAACAUACAGACAUCCUCUUUCGCCUACUAAUUCCAGGACAGACUCUUUUCUUCUCUGUACCUCUGUGAACCUUCUGCGACCUUAUCUUCGUGGAAAAAUGCAGUAACGUAAGCUGAUCUUGUUUCAGGAAAAGGCUAAAUGAAACGGCAUUGCAAGACGUCCUCAGCUUAAGGAGAUAUAGAAGUCAUUCAGAGCAGCGACACGGCGGUGGUUUGUCAAAAGGACUUUAUGUACGUGUUGACUAAGAGCAUUACGCUACUGUGUCUCACUGCCAAUUGUCGGAGAGAAUCGCUGGGGAAGUUUAUGGUUUCCUUUUUCCUCGACGUCCGCGUUCUUGGAGGAUCACGUUACUUCACAGGAGAGUCUGAAGUGCUUUAAUUCCACCUGUGGCAGUUUGAUAAUAGGAGGCAAACUACGGUGUACUUGGACUCACUGUGAGCAGCCCAGAGUGUGUUCCUUCCAAAUCUUGAACGCCGACGACUUUAGUACAUGUGUGUGCAGCAAAACAAGACUCUAACUUCCUCCUCCCUCUGAUCUCCUGUGUUAUCUCAUCCACCGCGACAGCUACCAAGACAUCAAACAAGCUCAAACAAGCCUUCUCGGUACUCUGUCGCUCGUGCCUUUACUCAUUUCCUGUUGCUGAGACUUGAGAGACUUAAAUUAAUCCCAGAACCGUGAGAGACUUUGCCAGUGCACCCCAACGUUUCAUUGCCACCCUUGUAACUUAGGAUUUCGCAAGCAUUUCCGCAAAGUUGAAGGCAGGCUAGUGACCUCUGUACGCAGGCUGGGAAAAGUGCUACACGAUAAACCCGUGAAACUAGUGAUUAAUAUUAUUUUUAAGCUA